rnacentral:rRNA from 1 species
UACGGAGGGUGCGAGCGUUGUCCGGAAUCACUGGGCGUAAAGCGUGCGCAGGCGGUUCUGAAAGUCAGCUGUGAAAGCCCCGGGCUUAACCUGGGAAUUGCGGUUGAAACUACAGGGCUAGAAUCUGGCAGAGGGGGGUGGAAUUCCACGUGUAGCAGUGAAAUGCGUAGAGAUGUGGAGGAAUACCGAUGGCGAAGGCAGCCCCCUGGGCCAAUACUGACGCUCAUGCACGAAAGCGUGGGGAGCAAACAGG